rnacentral:rRNA from 1 species
CGCGAAUGGCUCAUUAAAUCAGCUAUGGUUCCUUAGAUCAUAUAUGCUACAUGGAUAACUGUAGUAAUUCUAGAGCUAAUACAUGCCACUAUGCCCUGACCCGCAAGGGGAUGGGUGGAUUUAUUAGAACAGAACCAACCGGGGGCUUGCUCCUGUUGUACUCUGUGAUGACUCUGGAUAACUUUACUGAUCGCAGUCGGCCUUGUGUCGGCGAUGGAUCUUUCAAAUGUCUGCCCUAUCAAUUUGUUGGUAGGUGAUCUGCCUACCAUGAUAAUAACGGGUAACGGGGAAUCAGGGUUCGAUUCCGGAGAGGGAGCCUGAGAAACGGCUACCACAUCCAAGGAUGGCAGCAGGCGCGAAAAUUACCCACUCCCGGCACGGGGAGGUAGUGACGAAAAAUACGGAUACGGGACUCAUCUGAGGCUCCGUAAUUCGAAUGAGUACAAUCUAAAUCCUUUAACGAGGACCAAUUGGAGGGCAAGUCUGGUGCCAGCAGCCGCGGUAACUCCAGCUCCAAAAGCGUAUAUUAAAGUUGCUGCAGUUAAAAAGCUCGUAGUUGAAUCUGGGUCGCGUGGUCACAUGCUGUUCUUUCUGUUGACGCGGUUACGACCGGGGAUCAGAUAAGUUCGGUGUAGUGGCUGUGCAGCCUUUCAGUCGUGUCUGUGAAAACAGGUGUCGGUGUGUCAUUGGUUUUACCUUUGGCAUGUCGGCACGCUUUCGGAUGCCUUUAAACGGGUGUCGGGAGCGGGCGACAUCUUUACUUUGAACAAAUUUGAGUGCUCAAAGCAGGCCUAUGUGCCUGAAAAUUCUUGCAUGGAAUAAUGGAAUAGGACUUCGGUUCUAUUUUGUUGGUUUUCGGAUCCGAAGUAAUGGUUAACAGGGACAGACGGGGGCAUUUGUAUGGCGGUGUUAGAGGUGAAAUUCUGAGAUCGCCGCCAGACAAACUACAGCGAAAGCAUUUGCCAAGAAUGUUUUCAUUGAUCAGGAGCGAAAGUCAGAGUUUCGAAGACGAUCAGAUACCGUCGUAGUUCUGACCAUAAACGAUGCCAACUGACGAUCCGCGGUGGUUCUUUAAUUGGCCCCGCGGGCAGUCCCCGGGAAACCCUUAAGUUUUUGGGCUCCGGGGGAAGUAUGGUUGCAAAGCUGAAACUUAAAGGAAUUGACGGAAGGGCACCACCAGGAGUGGAGCCUGCGGCUUAAUUCGACUCAACACGGGAAAACUCACCCGGCCCGGACACUGUGAGGAUUGACAGAUUGAUAGCUCUUUCUUGAUUCGGUGGUUGGUGGUGCAUGGCCGUUCUUAGUUGGUGGAGCGAUUUGUCUGGUUAAUUCCGAUAACGAACGAGACUUUGACCUACUAAAUAGUACAUUUGUCCACUGUGUCUUUGCAGACUGUGGCUUCAACUGUCUCCCCCGGGGAGUAGUGUUGCUGCAUGUUAGCGAGCACGGUGCGAAUGUUGACUUCUUAGAGGGACAAGCGGCGCUAAAACAGCCGCACGAAAUUGAGCAAUAACAGGUCUGUGAUGCCCUUAGAUGUCCGGGGCCGCACGUGCGCUACAAUGACGGUGCCAGCGAGUCUGGAAACCUGGCCCGAAAGGGUUGGGCAAACUGUUUCAUCACCGUCGUAACUGGGAUCGGGGCUUGUAAUUAUUCCCCGUGAACGAGGAAUUCCUGGUAAGUGCAAGUCAUAA